CACCGAGUCCGAAGGUUCCGGGGCCCACCGGGACCUGGUGCAAAAGGGA
rnacentral:sRNA from 21 species